rfam:Equus caballus chromosome 25, whole genome shotgun sequence.
AUCUGACCCCAAAGGCUGUGCUUGCACAGGAGCCCAAGGAGGUGCCUCUGAGCCCAGCCUUGGAGGUGAGUC